rnacentral:rRNA from 1 species
UAGGGAAUCUUCCACAAUGGACGCAAGUCUGAUGGAGCAACGCCGCGUGAGCGAAGAAGGUUUUCGGAUCGUAAAGCUCUGUUGUUGGUGAAGAAGGAUAGAGGUAGUAACUGGCCUUUAUUUGACGGUAAUCAACCAGAAAGUCACGGCUAACUACGUGCCAG